AUCAAGCACAACAAAUCAAGCAAGCCCUUCUCUUAUCUCGGGCUUUAAUCUGUUGAUAAAUCAGUAGCCUCACACAUAAGUGAAUAAGUGAAGUAAAUGAGCACCUGAUAGACUUUAGGGACAGUUUAUCUGCAUUUCCUCUACUCACCAAUUUCCAUGCACACAGAUACAUGUGUACACACAUUCAGGCACACAAAGGCAGUGUUAGGUUGCUAUAUGUUGGCUUGUAAGAAUUAUGAGACAUCUUUGAUGUC
rnacentral:lncRNA from 1 species